rnacentral:rRNA from 1 species
UAGGGAAUCUUCGGCAAUGGGGGCAACCCUGACCGAGCAACGCCGCGUGAGUGAAGAAGGUUUUCGGAUCGUAAAGCUCUGUUGUAAGUCAAGAACGGGUGUGAGAGUGGAAAGUUCACACUGUGACGGUAGCUUACCAGAAAGGGACGGCUAACUACGUGCCAGCAGCCGCGGUAAUACGUAGGUCCCGAGCGUUGUCCGGAUUUAUUGGGCGUAAAGCGAGCGCAGGCGGUUUGAUAAGUCUGAAGUUAAAGGCUGUGGCUCAACCAUAGUUCGCUUUGGAAACUGUCAAACUUGAGUGCAGAAGGGGAGAGUGGAAUUCCAUGUGUAGCGGUGAAAUGCGUAGAUAUAUGGAGGAACACCGGUGGCGAGAGCGGCUCUCUGGUCUGUAACUGACGCUGAGGCUCGAAAGCGUGGGGAGCGAACAGGAUUAGAUACCCUGGUAGUCCACGCCGUAAACGAUGAGUGCUAGGUGUUGGAUCCUUUCCGGGAUUCAGUGCCGCA